rnacentral:lncRNA from 1 species
UUUUUCAUCAUUUGGGUAUCUUACGAUGAGAAUUUCCCAGAUUGUCCAGCCCAGAAUUGUUGGUGACUAUACUUUGUAAAGUUAGGUUUUUUUUUUAUUUUACGGCGUUGUGGAUUGUUGUGUGCUAGUACAUUUACAAUUCUGGUUUUUAUCAUCAGUUAUAUAGUUCCGAUGAGAAUUUACAGAGCAGAAGAUGCAUGUUGGAGAUAGAUACUUGGAAGAAUUAGGGUUGUGUUAAACUACAUUUAGAAUUUUAGAUAUAGUAGACGAUGGAAAAUUUGGCAGGUGAAAGUUAGGUUAGCGUGAGUUCUUGAAUGAGAACUAGAUGGAUUCAAAUCGGGACUGCAAUUUCUCUCUGGGCUAGAAAAAGCCAGUGUUUGUGAAGUUCUUAGAACCUCUGCUAAGUGACCCUCAACCAUUUUUGUAUGGCUUUGUUCUUUGAUGCAGCUGCUGAC